AAUCAACGCUGGCGGCGUGCCUCAGACAUGCAAGUCGAACGAUUAAAGCUCUCUUCGGAGAGUGCAUUAGAGUGGCGCACGGGUGAGUAACACGUAAGUAAUCUACCCUCGAGUGGGGAAUAACAACCGGAAACGGUUGCUAAUACCGCAUAAUGCAGCGGCACCGCAAGGUGACAGUUGUUAAAGNUUUAUCGCUUGAGGAGGAGCUUGCGGCAGGAUAGCUAGUUGGUAAGGUAAUGGCUUACCAAGGCUACGAUCUGU
rnacentral:rRNA from 1 species